AGUGAACUCUGGCGGUAGGCCUAACACAUGCAAGUCGAACGGCAGCACAGGAGAGCUUGCUCUCUGGGUGGCGAGUGGCGGACGGGUGAGGAAUACAUCGGAAUCUACUCUGUCGUGGGGGAUAACGUAGGGAAACUUACGCUAAUACCGCAUACGACCUACGGGUGAAAGCAGGGGACCUUCGGGCCUUGCGCGAUUGAAUGAGCCGAUGUCGGAUUAGCUAGUUGGCGGGGUAAAGGCCCACCAAGGCGACGAUCCGUAGCUGGUCUGAGAGGAUGAUCAGCCACACUGAAACUGAGACACGGUCCAGACUCCUACGGGAGGCAGCAGUGGGGAAUAUUGGACAAUGGGCGCAAGCCUGAUCCAGCCAUACCGCGUGGGUGAAGAAGGCCUUCGGGUUGUAAAGCCCUUUUGUUGGGAAAGAAAUCCAGCUGGCUAAUACCCGGUUGGGAUGACGGUACCCAAAGAAUAAGCACCGGCUAACUUCGUGCCAGCAGCCGCCGCCG
rnacentral:rRNA from 1 species